AUCCAGUUGACGAGUCCCAAAUAGGACGAAACGUGCGUCCUGGAU
rfam:Schistosoma haematobium scaffold799_29, whole genome shotgun sequence.